GACCCUCACACCAUCCUGGGGAUGGGGAACCCUCACACCAUCCUGGGGCUGAAGGACCCUCACACCAUCCUGGGGAUGGGGAACCCUCACACCGUCCUGGGGUUGGGGAACCCUCACACCAUCCUGGGGAUGGAGAACCCUCACACCAUCCUGGGGAUGGAGAACCCUCACAUCAUCCUGGGGAUGGGGAACCCUCACACCAUCCUGGGGCUGAAGGACCCUCACACUGUCCUGGGGCUGGGUGACCUUCACACUCUCCUGGGGCUGGGGGACUCUCACACUGGGCUGGGGGACCCUCAAACUCCCAGGUUCAUGGGCCUCUGACAUGAAGCCCCUUCUCACCUAAAACAGCCCUGCAGAUUGGGACCUUGACUUGGACUACCCCCUGCCCACCUCCAGCAGGCACACCGCUGCCCAUGAGCUGCAACUCCUGGAGGAGCAGGUAAAAAAAUUUGACAAGGCCAAAAAGAAAACUCAUCGCCUCUACAAACAAUUACAGCAGCAGUUUUUGAAAGAACAGGAGAGAAAGAUGGCGUGGAGGAAGAAGACAGCCGAACAGUUUAAAAGAUCCCUCGAAGUGUUCGAUCGCAGGAGCGGGAAGGUGCCCGGUCCCACCUCCCGUUUGCCGGCGGCUGAAGCGGAGCCCUCGGAAUAGAGACGCGUGCAGAGAGCUCCUCCUGCAGGCCGUGCCCCGGCUGCCAGCGCACUGGAGCUUUAGGAACUCUACAGCUUUAGGAACUCUACGCUCCUUCUACAGCAAUAAAUCUGUGCAACCCC